GUGAGUCAGACCUUGGUAGCCUCCUUACUUGCUCCAAUUGCUUCAGAGAGAGAAGUGCGGGUGUGCAGGAUAGUGAAGGAGCAAGGCUCAUGUGAAUAGAAGAAUCCAAGGUAAAGCAGGAAGAGAAAUCCAGCUAGAGAAAGAGGUGGAAGUCAAAAUAAAUAGACUAUUUUUUUAAAUUUUUAAUGGCUUCUUGGUGGCUUCAAGAUAAAAACAAUGAAUUCUUCGGAGGUGAGCACUACAUGUAUAUUUUACCUUUGUUUCUCAGCACAGGAUAGACAAUGAGGAGCUUUGUGUCUGGGAAAAGAAUAAAAGUCAACUGUAGCAAAACCUCUCAGAAGUAGGAUUUAUAAACAGUUCUCAAAGGAUGCACAUGAAAAUGUAAUUUCUUGGGAAAGCGGCAAACAGAAAAGAAUCAAACAAACCUCAGUUGUGUGUGGCAAGGAUAAAUACGCAAUGCAUCAUCAAUAGUAUUUGUUGGGUGAAUAAAAAAGCCUUUUAGCCAACAAUAUGUAAGCAGAAGAAUGGAGCAGGAGUUAGAGAGAAUCCUCAAGCAAUAAUGGAGGCCGCUGGAGAGGCAAGACUGCCAAAGGCUAAGUUAUUGACCCAGUACUUUUAAAACUGCCUCCGAAAAGAAGCCUGAAUGAAAGAAAAUAAUUUGUUCAAUUAGAAUGUAUUUUUCCUUUGUGUUCCUAUCUACUUCCUUCACAAGCUAUUUUUGAUUGAUUUUUCUGAGAACAAAAUAAAUAUCCACAGUGAGUCACAAAUGUAAAUGUAUUGAGUGCCCAGUGUAUGGAGCCCUUUCUCCAAGACCUCGCUGCCGUAACUACAAACACAACUGAGAACUGGUGAUUUGAAGAUGAUUCUUGGGAUAGCGGGCUAGACGGCACUUCACACUGGCUUUUGGGGCCACAUAGGGGUGUAACAUGUUAUCACUCUGCACAACCCCAGAGGGUACCACACACAACCCAUUUGACCAAACAUGGCAGUCCUGAAAGGAAUGAUGAUUGAAAGCCAAGACUGAGCUUUGGCAAGGAAACCACCUCUGGAUUACCAACUCAUUGUCUAUAAUGUAGUGAUAGCAUCUACCUCUUAGUAAUUUUGUGAACAUUAAAUGAAUAAAGCAUGAGAAAAAGCCU